AUAAGACGGGCAAGAAGUGUGC
rnacentral:miRNA from 1 species